UCCGUUGUUUGCACAUUUUGUUGUUCCAGAAGUGUAGCUUUUUAAUUGCUUUUUCUGUCAACUCUUAUUUAUUGUAAGACACAGUGCUGAAGAGAAAGUCCAUUUGCAAAAUGCUCUUUGAAUAAGGAGUUUUCCAGCGUCACUUAAUGGGAUUCCAGGCAUUUCCCCAUUGAUAUUUUUUAUGUUUGUGCAGAUCCUAGGAAGGUUUCUGAGGAAUUCCUAUGAAGUAUUUUAACUGGAAACAUGGCUGUUCUGUUUUAUAGGACUCCUAAUCCACACAAAGCUAAACAACUUGAUGAUUUGAAAUAUUCACCCCUGCGUGGUAAUAUGGGAUUGGCAUCUAUUUCUGUUGGCAGGUACCAGAUGACAAACUUGGUGUUGAGCCAGGGUUAGGGUUUUGUUAGAGGUUUUUCUUCUGUCAUUGUCUCUGGUUUGCGGUAUUUACCUAUCAACUAUUAAAACCCCAAGUGCCUCAAAAUAACUGUUUAAAAAGCUUUGUUUCCCUGACUUUUUAUGUCUUGCCCAAAAAUUAUAAAAGAGAGAAUUAAUAUUUCCCAGCAGGGAAUUGGAUUUGCUAAAAUGUCACCACCAGUCUCUUAAUUAGCCCCUCAAAAUACCAUGUUGUCUCUUGAUCCUCAGUGGGAAAGAAUAUGAGUUGAAAUGAAAUGGAGCUUUUUCUUAAAUAACAAAACCAAAUAUGUCCUAAACAACAAAAAUCACAGUUGCAAAGUCAGAGGUCGUGUAGGAAAUCUUUUAGAAAAGCUGCACUUCAAAAUACCAACUGACUUAGAAAUUUGAAAGUUGAUGGAAAUAAUAGUAAAUGCAAUUCUUAAAAAAGGAUUAAUGUUUGCAUUAAAAAUAAACUUUUUGAUUAAUAAAGGUAAAAAAGGAAAAAAAUUCUCCUAGUGGUCUAUAAGACGUAUUGACUCCAGAUGUUAAUCUAUUAAUUUAUAUAAAGUUAGACCUUAAACCUCCUUCCUGUAUUUUCAGUUUAUUUUUUCCAAUUCUGAUAAAAUCAAGGUGCCUCAAACAGAGGUGUUAUCCCCAGUGAGGAGGAUGCUGAAAAAUGUAUCAGAACGCCCAUUUUUUAAUACUCAUGGAAGGAACAAGAAUCCUUGCCAUAAACUAUUUCUGAUGUGUUGUGCUCAUAUCCAGCACAAUGGCCAAAAGUGGCUGUUUAAUGUAAUUAGAACAUUAACAGAGGAUUUGCAGGUAUGAUGCAUAAGAAAGGUUCAUCUCCAGGCAUCAAAGAGGUCUGGAAGACAUACACCCAUUUCCCUGAGAAGACAGAUCUCCACAACAUGUUAUAGAAGCUUUUGUGCCUAUCACCUACUCUUUGUAGCUGUCAGGGAUAUCUUCUGUUAAUGGGCCAUUGAGUCUCACUGCAUGACUGAUAAAAUUACAUCAUCCCACUGUGAGAUGCUCUGCCCAGAGGUAGGAGCCAAGCAUUCCUACCUGGAUGUAAUCUGAAGUUUGGAACACCAUGGGCAGCCUUUCUCCACUAGAUUCCCAGAGGACAAGAGCUGCAUCCACCACUGGACCUUCAGAGGAAGAUCCAACCCUUCUACAGGAUCAUUGCUUCAAGAGAACCACAUCUAUCACUUCAACAGGACUGCAGCUGCCAUUUAAUUGGACUGCUUCCACCAUCCUGACCAACUGGCUGUCAGGCUGUAUCCUGACUCUAUCAGUGUUCCUAUACUAUUGCAUUUAUUUUACUUUUCCAAUUUAAUUAUAGCUCUGACUUUGAAUCUCUUAUUGGUUUGCAUUCAGACCAGUACACACUACCCAGAGGAAGCCUGGUGCACAAAUGGUAGUCAGUGCUGAGGUUGCUCUCUCUCAGUUUAGCUCAUUUCUGCUCAAUUUAACAUUUAAAAUUUGUGUAUUCUUUUGAUCUGAGGUCUUCAGCUGCCAUCAGCACUACUCUCUUACUCUGCUAGGUAAGAAUAGAUUAGCUACUCACAAGAGGCAUAUGAAAUUUUGUUUCGAUGAGAAACAAUAGGACAGUGGAAAGAGCAAGGAGAAAAUGAUGAUUUUUGGAGCAGGAUUUGAAUAGUUUGCAGUAAGAAAGUCUCUCCUUGAGUGAUCAAGCAUCUUUGUGUGCUCAGUGGCAUGGGUUUUUCAACCUAAAAAUUCUGCCAAAUGGUAAGGGAAACCACAGAGUUUUUUACAGCAGUGUGUGGUGUCCCUGGGAUGUAGCACCUGUCCUGUGGCAGCCACUUUCCAUGAAGCAGAAACUUGGAGGUGGUUUGGAGGACCCUGGGAGGACACCACAGGUUUUUGUGGCUGGUGUCUGCUGUGGUAUAGACAUAUUGGUAUGGACAUAUUGGUA